rnacentral:rRNA from 1 species
CCCUUAGAGUUUGAUCCUGGCUCAGGACGAACGCUGACGGCGUGCCUAAUACAUGCAAGUCGAGCGCGGGAAGCGAGCUGAAGCCCUUCGGGGUGGACGCUCGUGGAACGAGCGGCGGACGGGUGAGUAACACGUGGGCAACCUGCCUGUAAGAUCGGAAUAACUCCGGGAAACCGGAGCUAAUGCCGGGUAACACCUUCUUUCGCAUGAAGGAAGGUUAAAAGAUGGCUUCUUGCUAUCACUUACAGAUGGGCCCGCGGCGCAUUAGCUAGUUGGUGAGGUAACGGCUCACCAAGGCGACGAUGCGUAGCCGACCUGAGAGGGUGAUCGGCCACACUGGGACUGAGACACGGCCCAGACUCCUACGGGAGGCAGCAGUAGGGAAUCUUCCGCAAUGGACGAAAGUCUGACGGAGCAACGCCGCGUGAACGAUGAAGGCUUUCGGGUCGUAAAGUUCUGUUGUCAGGGAAGAACAAGUACCGUGCGAAUAGAGCGGUACCUUGACGGUACCUGACGAGGAAGCCCCGGCUAACUACGUGCCAGCAGCCGCGGUAAUACGUAGGGGGCAAGCGUUGUCCGGAAUUAUUGGGCGUAAAGCGCGCGCAGGCGGUUCCUUAAGUCUGAUGUGAAAGCCCACGGCUCAACCGUGGAGGGUCAUUGGAAACUGGGGAACUUGAGGACAGA